UUAAGUCAGGCAACAAGCGAGACCCACGCCCACAGUUGCCAGCGUACUCUCCGGAGUGACGGGUACACUGUGGGGACCGCCGCUGCUAAAGCGGAGGAAGGAAUGGGCAACGGUAGGUCAGUAUGCCCCGAAUAUCCCGGGCUACACGCGAGCUACAAUGGUUGGUACAAUGGGUAUCUACCCCGAAAGGGGAUGGAAAUCUCCUAAAGCCAAUCUUAGUUCGGAUUGAGGGCUGCAACUCGCCCUCAUGAAGCUGGAAUCCGUAGUAAUCGCGCGUCAUAACCGCGCAGUGAAUACGUCCCUGCUCCUUGCACA
rnacentral:rRNA from 1 species